CAGUAGCCACGGUAAUACGGAGGGUGCAAGCGUUAAUCGGAAUUACUGGGCGUAAAGCGCACGCAGGCGGUCUGUCAAGUCGGAUGUGAAAUCCCCGGGCUCAACCUGGGAACUGCAUUCGAUACUGGGAAGCUAGAGUAUGGGAGAGGAUGGUAGAAUUCCAGGUGUAGCGGUGAAAUGCGUAGAGAUCUGGAGGAAUACCGAUGGCGAAGGCAGCCAUCUGGCCUAAUACUGACGCUGAGGUACGAAAGCAUGGGGAGCAAACAGGAUUAGAUACCCGCGUAGUCCCUGUCUCUUAUAU
rnacentral:rRNA from 1 species